rnacentral:rRNA from 1 species
AGCGAACGCUGGCGGCGUGCUUAACACAUGCAAGUCGAGCGAAGGUGUUUCAAGGGUAACCUUGAGAUACACUUAGCGGCGGACGGGUGAGUAAUACGUGGAUAACUUACCUCUAGGCCUGGGAUAACCUCGGGAAACUGGGGCUAAUACCUGAUAAGACCACAUUGUCUACGGACAAAGGGGUAAAGGUGGCUGUGCAAACAGCUAUCGCCAAAAGAUAGGUUUACGUCCCAUCAGGCAGUUGGUGAGGUAAUGGCUCACCAAACCAAAGACGGGUAGCCGGCCUUGGCGGGGUGAACGGCCACACGGGGACUGAGACACGG